AUUGAACGCUGGCGGCAUGCCUUACACAUGCAAGCCGAACGGCAGCACGGGAGCAAUCCUGGUGGCGAGUGACGAACGGGUGAGUAAAGCAUCGGAACGUGCCCAGUCGUGGGGGAUAACGUAGCGAAAGCUACGCUAAUACCGCAUACGAUCUGUGGAUGAAAGCGGGGGACCGUAAGGCCUCGCGCGAGUGGAGCGGCUGAUGUCAGAUUAGGUAGUUGGUGGGGUAAAGGCUCACCAAGCCGACGAUCUGUAGCUGGUCUGAGAGGACGACCAGCCACACUGGGACUGAGACACGGCCCAGACUCCUACGGGAGGCAGCAGUGGGGAAUUUUGGACAAUGGGCGCAAGCCUGAUCCAGCAAUGCCGCGUGCAGGAUGAAGGCCUUCGGGUUGUAAACUGCUUUUGUACGGAGCGAAAAGGCUUCCACUAAUACUGGGGGCUCAUGACGGUACCGUAAGAAUAAGCACCGGCUAACUACGUGCCAGCCGCCGCUGUAAUAC
rnacentral:rRNA from 1 species